AUUGAACGCUGGCGGCAUGCCUUACACAUGCAAGUCGAACGGCAGCACGGGUGCUUGCACCUGGUGGCGAGUGGCGAACGGGUGAGUAAUACAUCGGAACGUACCUUAUCGUGGGGGAUAACGCAGCGAAAGUUGCGCUAAUACCGCAUAAGCCCUGAGGGGGAAAGCGGGGGACCGUAAGGCCUCGCGCGAUUAGAGCGGCCGAUGUCUGAUUAGCUUGUUGGUGAGGUAAAAGCUCACCAAGGCGAUGAUCAGUAGCUGGUCUGAGAGGACGAUCAGCCACACUGGGACUGAGACACGGCCCAGACUCCUACGGGAGGCAGCAGUGGGGAAUUUUGGACAAUGGGGGCAACCCUGAUCCAGCAAUGCCGCGUGAGUGAAGAAGGCCUUCGGGUUGUAAAGCUCUUUUGUCAGGGAAGAAACAGCAGCUCUAACGCAGUCUGCGAAUGACGGUACCUGAAGAAUAAGCACCGGCUAACUACGUGCCAGCAGCCGCCGUAA
rnacentral:rRNA from 1 species